CCCUACUGAUGCCCGCGUCGC
rnacentral:sRNA from 1 species